rnacentral:misc_RNA from 1 species
UGCUUGUGCAACAACUUCCACCUGACAUUCCUAUUCAUUGGUCCGUUAAGGCUUCGAUUGCCUAAACAAAUUGUGGGUUUCCUGUGUUGCCUACCUAAAAUAUGGUAUUCAUGUGGCUUAUCCUAUUUCUGUUCGUCUUGUGUCAUGUUGCUCAUGACAUUAGAUGGACCAUAAACCUGUCUCUUUGAACCACAUUGUUAAUGCUUGCGUUGACGUAGUGGCGCAUUGAGCCUUGCUUGGUCUCUUUGAUGUAGUACCUGAUGUGGGCAUAUGGUUCUCGUUGGUUCCUUGUUAUGUCCCCGUUCAGCGUUUACGCUCCCUAAAAUGACUGCUUGACACGCAUUGGCUCGUACCAGCGUGUUGGGCUUUGUCUAAGAGGAAAGU